CCUACGGGAGGCUGCAGUGGGGAAUAUUGGACAAUGGGGGCAACCCUGAUCCAGCCAUGCCGCGUGUGUGAAGAAGGCCCUCGGGUUGUAAAGCACUUUCAGUGAGGAAGAACGCCUGGUGGUUAAUACCCAUCAGGAAAGACAUCACUCACAGAAGAAGCACCGGCUAACUCCGUGCCAGCAGCCGCGGUAAUACGGAGGGUGCGAGCGUUAAUCGGAAUUACUGGGCGUAAAGCGCGCGUAGGUGGCUUGAUAAGCCGGUUGUGAAAGCCCCGGGCUCAACCUGGGAACGGCAUCCGGAACUGUCAAGCUAGAGUGCAGGAGAGGAAGGUAGAAUUCCCGGCGUAGCGGUGAAAUGCGUAGAGAUCGGGAGGAAUACCAGUGGCGAAGGCGGCCUUCUGGACUGACACUGACACUGAGGUGCGAAAGCGUGGGUAGCAAACAGGAUUAGAUACCCUUGUAGUC
rnacentral:rRNA from 1 species